rnacentral:rRNA from 1 species
CAAUAGCGUAUAUUAAAGUUGUUGCAGUUAAAAGCUCGUAGUUGGAUUUCUGGUGGGAGCACGGGUCGGCCCUCACGGGUUGUACUGUUGUUGCGUCCCGCCGUUUCGGAGGGAAUGGUCUCGCUAUUAAGUUAGCGUGAUCGGGAACUCUGUCGUUUACUGUGAAAAAUUAGAGUGUUCAAAGCAGGCCUUCGCUGUGAAUACAUUAGCAUGGAAUAAUAAGAUAGGACUGUAGUGCUAUUUUGUUGGUUUGCGUACUAUGGUAAUGAUUAAUAGGGAUAGUUGGGGGUAUUCAUAUUCAAUUGUCAGAGGUGAAAUUCUUGGAUCGGCGGAAGACUCGCAACUGCGAAAGCAUUUGCCAAGAAUGUUUUCUUUAAUCAAGAACGAUAGUCGGAGGUUCGAAGACGAUCAGAUACCGU